AAUAAGAUGCCUGACUUAAAAGGAUUAUUUUGAUAGAAUAAAUUAUGUAUAUAUUAUACUCUUAUUA
rnacentral:tRNA from 1 species